rnacentral:lncRNA from 1 species
AGAAUUGGAUGUUAUAUAUGCUCCUUAUUCGGGUCCCUCUGACUUCAACCAUGGAAUUGGAUACUAUUGUCUCAGCUGGUCUCUCCAAUGCCAUUUCUCUCUACUCCAGUUCUAGACAGCACAGUAGUGAUCAUAUCUUUAAAACUACUGUUUUUAUUUCAGGAUGUUCCCUGAUCAAAAUCCCUGUAUCAAUUUUCCAUCACCAAAGCCAGAGUCCUCCACAGUCCAGCCCUGUUGCAUCCCCUGCUUGUGCCCCACAAGGGUGCUCUCACAUGAAGGUUGUUUGUCAAAAGCUUACCAGUGUGGUCAUCCCUCCCUUGGUCCCUUUCCCCAGUGUGCAGUGCUUCCACUUCUCCCUCUGAACCCAUCAUGGCCAGUUUCAAUAUUUACUUCCUUCUUCGCUAAGCAAACGGCCCUGUAGAGAUCCUACUGCCUGGCUGACUCCUUUUCUGACCAGUCUUGUUUCCAGAGCUUUGUUCGACUACGUCCAAAAUUGAAAUAAAACUUAGGGGGCACAUACCA